rnacentral:rRNA from 1 species
AGGACGAACGCUGGCGGCGUGCUUAACACAUGCAAGUCGAGCGGUAAGGCCCUUUCGGGGGUACACGAGCGGCGAACGGGUGAGUAACACGUGAGCAAUCUGCCCUUCACUUCGGGAUAAGCCUCGGAAACGGGGUCUAAUACCGGAUAUGACUGCGCCAUGCAUGUGGUGUGGUGGAAAGUUCUGGCGGUGAGGGAUGAGCUCGCGGCCUAUCAGCUUGUUGGUGGGGUAAUGGCCUACCAAGGCUUCGACGGGUAGCCGGCCUGAGAGGGUGACCCGGCACACUGGGACUGAGACACGGCCCA